rnacentral:rRNA from 1 species
AUUGAACGCUGGCGGCAGGCUUAACACAUGCAAGUCGAGCGGAGAUGAGGUGCUUGCACCUUAUCUUAGCGGCGGACGGGUGAGUAAUGCUUAGGAAUCUGCCUAUUAGUGGGGGACAACAUUCCGAAAGGAAUGCUAAUACCGCAUACGUCCUAAGGUAGAAAGCAGGGGAUCUUCGGACCUUGCGCUAAUAGGCGAGCCUAGGUCGGAUUAGCUAGUUGGUGGGGUAAAGGCCUACCAAGGCGACGAUCUGUAGCGGGUCUGGGAGGAUGAUCCGCCACACUGGGACUGAGACACGGCCCAGACGCCUACGGGAGGCAGCAGUGGGGAAUAUUGGACAAUGGGGGGAACCCUGAUCCAGCCAUGCCGCGUGUGUGAAGAAGGCCUUAUGGUUGUAAAGCACUUUAAGCGAGGAGGAGGCUACUGAGACUAAUACUCUUGGAUAGUGGACGUUACUCGCAGAAUAAGCACCGGCUAACUCUGUGCCAGCCGCCGCGGUAA